GACAGUGGAAUCUAGAAGUGACAUUCGGUUAGAGACAGUGGAAUCUAGAAGCGACAUUCGGUUAGAGACAGUGGAAUCUAGAAGCGACAUUCGGUUAGAGACAGUGGAAUCUAGAAGCGACAUUUGGUUAGAGACAGUGGAAUCUAGAAGAGACAUUUGGUUAGAGACAGUGGAAUCUAGAAGAGACAUUUGGUUAGAGACAGUGGAAUCUAGAAGAGACAUUUGGUUAGAGACAGUGGAAUCUAGAAGAGACAUUUGGUUAGAGACAGUGGAAUCUAGAAGAGACAUUUGGUUAGAGACAGUGGAAUCUAGAAGCGACAUUCGGUUAGAGACAGUGGAAUCUAGAAGCGACAUUUGGUUAGAGGCAGUGGAAUUUUGUCCGAAAUGUUUUCUUGUUUUUUUCUUUCACUGUUCUGUCCUGGUUGCCUCCACAUACAAUAUCACUAGUUGUCUUACUCAGUGAACGUGGAGCUGUUGAGCAGAGCCAAGUAGACAUACAGUAACUGUGAAGACGCCGCUAAUGGAAUUUCAGGGCAAAUCAAACAACUAGUCAACUGGGAGACGCUGUUUUAUCAACCAAUCAAAUCGAAUGAUCGAUUUGCUGGAUUGAUUUGAUACGCUGUUGAGGCAAUAUCAGCUGGUCAAUGUGUUUAGUUAGUGUACUGUAUAUACUGCUUACUGAAGGACCGUAGGCUCUACCUAACCGUGACACGUGUAGAGUACAACACCACACAGUCUACUCGAGAGCAGCAAAUUCAACCAUGGUGUCACGCCAUGUAAUAAGAUGUUAUAUCUUGUUUUUUUAAAUUGAUUUUUAUUGUUCCUGUCUUAAAUAUAAAUAGUUGUUUUCUCUUCUUCUUCUGAAUGGCAAAGUGCUUGUCUGUGUUUUAGUGUUCUUGAAGACUUGUUUUAUUUGUAUAUUAUUGCGUGUUGUAUAUAUUAAACGCUGUGCGAUUUUUGUAAAUUUUGUGCUUUUGUCGGGGCGCGGAAAAGUUCCCAACUGAAUGCCAUGAUGAGCAGAUAUUUCUCUUGCACGUUCUUUUCAAAAUGAUCAUGACUUGUUUCAAAACUCAUAGAUACAAAAUAAACAGAAUGCCUGUACAUACAA